rnacentral:rRNA from 1 species
GGAUAACCUGCCCUUGGGUCCGGCAUAACCCCGGGAAACUGGGGAUAAUUCCGGAUAACGCACAUAUGCUGGAAUGCUUUAUGCGUAAAAUGGAUUCGUCUGCCCAAGGAUGGGUCUGCGGCCUAUCAGGUAGUAGUGGGUGUAAUGUACCUACUAGCCAACAACGGGUACGGGUUGUGAGAGCAAGAGCCCGGAGAUGGAUUCUGAGACAUGAAUCCAGGCCCUACGGGGCGCAGCAGGCGCGAAAACUUUACAAUGCGGGAAACCGUGAUAAGGGGACACCGAGUGCCAGCAUCAUAUGCUGGCUGUCCAGGUGUGUAAAAUACACCUGUUAGCAAGGGCCGGGCAAGACCGGUGCCAGCCGCCGCGGUAACACCGGCGGCCCGAGUGGUGAUCGUGAUUAUUGGGUCUAAAGGGUCCGUAGCCGGUUUGGUCAGUCCUCCGGGAAAUCUGACGGCUUAACCGUUAGGCUUUCGGGGGAUACUGCCAGGCUUGGAACCGGGAGAGGUAAGAGGUACUACAGGGGUAGGAGUGAAAUCUUGUAAUCCCUGUGAGACCACCUGUGGCGAAGGCGUCUUACCAGAACGGGUUCGACGGUGAGGGACGAAAGCUGGGGGCACGAACCGGAUUAGAUACCCGGGUAGUCCCAGCCGUAAACGAUGCUCGCUAGGUGUCAGGCAUGGCGCGACCGUGUCUGGUGCCGCAGGGAAGCCGUGAAGCGAGCCACCUGGGAAGUACGGCCGCAAGGCUGAAACUUAA